rnacentral:rRNA from 1 species
UUAAGCCAUGCGAGUCGAACGAGUUUAGGCUCGUGGCGUACGGCUCAGUAACACGUGGAUAACCUACCCUUAGGACCGGGAUAGCCUUGGGAAACUGAGGAUAAUACUGGAUAGGCAAUUAUUUCUGCAAUGGUUUUUUGUUUAAAUGUUUUUUUCGCCUAAGGAUGGGUCUGCGGCCGAUUAGGUAGUUGGUUAGGUAAAGGCUUACCAAGCCGUUGAUCGGUACGGGUUGUGAGAGCAAGAGCCCGGAGAUGGAACCUGAGACAAGGUUCCAGGCCCUACGGGGUGCGGCAGGCGCGAAACCUCCGCAAUGUGAGAAAUCGCGACGGGGGGAUCCCAAGUGCCAUUCUUAACGGGACGGCUUUUCAUUAGUGUAAAGAGCUUUUGGAAUAAGGGCUGGGCAAGACCGGUGCCAGCCGCCGCGGUAA